ensembl:lncRNA
GGGUGGUGGAUGUCUAGUGUCCCUUAUGGCUCUAAUAUGAUAAUGGUAGUAGGGUGGCAGAUUCCUAGUGUCCCUUAUGGCUCUAAUCUGAUAGUGGUAGUGGGGUGGUAGAGUCCUAGUGUCCCUUAUGGCUCUAAUAUGAUAAUGGUAGUAGGGUGGUGGAUGUCUAGUGUCCAUUAUGGCUCUAAUAUGAUAAUGGCAGUAGGGUGGUGGAUGUCUAGUGUCCCUUAUGGCUCUAAUCUGACAGUGGUAGUAGGGUGGUAGAUUCCUAGUGUCCCUUAUGGCUCUAAUCUGAUAGUGGUAGUGGGGGGUGGCAGAUUCCUAGUGUCCCUUAUGGCUCUAAUCUGAUAGUGGUAGUGGGGUGGUAGAUUCCUAGUGUCCCUUAUGGCUCUAAUAUGAUAAUGGUAGUAGGGUGGUGGAUGUCUAGUGUCCCUUAUGGCUCUAAUAUGAUAAUGGUAGUAGGGUGGUGGAUGUCUAGUGUCCCUUAUGGCUCUAAUCUGAUAGUGGUAGUAGGGUGGUAGAUGUCUAGUGUCCCUUAUGGCUCUAAUCUGAUAGUGGUAGUGGGGUGGUAGAUUCCUAGGGUCCCUUAUGGCUCUAAUAGGAUAGUGGUAGUGCGGGGUGGUAGAUUCCUAGUGUACCUUAUGGCUCUAAUCUGAUAGUGGUAGUGGGGUGGUAGAUUCCUAGUGUCCCUUAUGGCUCUAAUCUGAUAGUGGUAGUGGGGUGGUAGAUCACGAGUGUCCCCUAUGGCUCUAAUAUGAUAGUGGAUGUAGGGUGGUGGAUGUCUAGUGUCCCUUAUGGCUCUAAUAUGAUAAUGGUAGUGGGGUGGUAGAUUCU